UACGGAGGUGGCAAGCGUUGUUCGGAAUUACUGGGCGUAAAGGGCGCGUAGGCGGCAUUGCAAGUCAGAUGUGAAAGCCCCGGGCUUAACCUGGGAAUUGCAUCUGAAACUGUUUUGCUUGAGUCCUGGAGGGGAUAGUGGAAUUCCCAGUGUAGCGGUGAAAUGCGUAGAUAUUGGGAGGAACACCUGCGGCGAAGGCGGCUAUCUGGACAGUGACUGACGCUGAUGCGCGAAAGCUAGGGGAGCGAACGGG
rnacentral:rRNA from 1 species